GGGGGAAACCCUGAUGCAGCCAUGCCGCGUGUGUGAAGAAGGACCUUCGGGUGUAAAGCACUUUCAGUAGGGAGGAAGGUAGUGUAGUUAACACCUGCAUUAUUUGACGUUACCUACAGAAGAAGCACCGGCUAACUCCGUGCCAGCAGCCGCGGUAAUACGGAGGGUGCGAGCGUUAAUCGGAAUUACUGGGCGUAAAGCGCAUGCAGGCGGCCUGUUAAGUCAGAUGUGAAAGCCCGGGGCUUAACCUCGGAAUUGCAUUUGAAACUGGCAGGCUAGAGUCUUGUAGAGGGGGGUAGGAAUUUCAGGUGUAGCGGUGAAAUGCGUAGAGAUCUGAAGGAAUACCAGUGGCGAAGGCGGCCCCCUGGACAAAGACUGACGCUCAGAUGCGAAAGCGUGGGGAGCAAACAGGAUUAGAUACCCUGGUAG
rnacentral:rRNA from 1 species